rnacentral:tRNA from 1 species
CAAAUUGAAGCUUUAAGAAAGCCUUUUAUUUACAUUAAAAUUAUUACUGUGCAAUUCAGUGCUAUUUGA